UCUAAUCCUAAUCCAAUCAAAUCUAAUCCUAUAUGGAAAAUAUAAAGUUAUCAAAGAAAGAGAAGAGAUGAAGGGGAGGUUCAAUCGUACGGGCCAAAAGUAGGACGAAUUCAGUUUGGGCCCUUUGCCCCAAACGACCACGAAUUCAUCAUCAUGUCCAUGGAACAGAGUGAAGUCCAAUCCGAUAAGCAGUGCAAAUUGGAACCAGAGAAAAGGCUUCUCCGAUAAGCCAACGCACUUGCAACCUCCUCUUUCGGCUUCUUCUCUUCUCAUCCUCCAUCACGGAAUGAAAAGCUCCUUGUGUUGCGUCACCGUCCUCGCGAUGCUACGUCCAAAAUGUUUCAGGAAAACGCAAGCAUGAUGUCACGGAAUGAAAAGCUCCUUGUGUUGCGUCACCGUCCUCGCGAUGCUACGUCCAAAAUGUUUCAGGAAAACGCAAGCAUGAUGUCGCUCUAUUCUUCUUCACCAGAUGCAAAAUCGGAGAUGAAGCGAGUCAAAUUCAAUUCAAUCUCCAAUUAUCAAUGAUGUUGCAGAUAUUCCAGGAGGCGAUGAACUCAUGCUUGCGGCUGGUAUCUGCUUUGCGUUUACAGUUUGGGGCUGCUGCAUUACAACUAUGGGUUCUUUGGCUACUCCAGGUUGAAGGUUCUUAUAAUCACCUCCAACAGACACAAAAUGAGCAUCAGCCUUAGCAGGUGGGGGUGACACUUGCAACGGUGAUGUCAAUGUACAAGAAACAGAAGGAUUAGAUUCUGCACCAUAGCACCUUUUGUCAACUGGUAUAGUGGCCUGUUGUGGCUUUACCCAAUCAAACUUAGGUGGUAUUGUCUUUAGAGGUUGCAUAUUUUAUUACUGGAAUCUGAGGAUACUCCAUUCGUUAUUGCUUCUUUUGUAUCUUUGUCAUCUAUUCUGUGUUGGUUCGGAGAAGGAACGGGUUUGGUUUGUGACCUUGGGUUGUUGUAAUUUUGUUGGAUAUUCUUUUGUAGGAUUUAUGUUGAAUGAGUGUGAAUUGAGUUUCAAUGUAAAAAAAUGAAUGUGGUUAUGGGCUAUGUGAUGGUUUGAAAUUGUUGUAAUUUUUAAAAUGAAACAUGUGAAUUGGUUUGAACAUUGUAAUUGGAAUUGUGUGUGUUAGGAUGUGAAUUGGAAUCAAUGGUUUAUGUAUAGCAAAUGGAAUUUUGAAUGUAA